CCAGAAAUAGAGACUUUCCCUGCCUACCUUCUAAAUUGACUUGGAUUAGAAAAUUGUUUCACUUCUUUCUUUUCUAAAAGUCCACCUUCUUCAAAAAACAUGGAGAAUAGUCAAUGAAACACCUGGAAUUGGGAGAUAGGGUGUCUUAUGAGAAAAAAAAGGAAGCAGUGCAUUGUACCUGAAAGGAGAAGACACAAGAAAACUAUAAAGGGAAGAAGAUGGACAUUUAAUGAAACAAGUGAAUUCCAUUUGUUUCUAAUGAAAAAAACAAAGCUAAACAAAAAAUUUGACCUCCAACUAUAUGACUUAAGAGAAGCAGAAAAAGGUAAAAUCAGUGUCUACCCCUUGUGGGGUGAGGGAAUAUUCUUCCGUGAAGGAGGGAGUACAGCAGGGACCCCCACAGCUAAACCUUGAAGGUCAAUUAUACUCACUAUACUCCAUGUAUAGAAUAGUAUUGGAGAUGGCUGUGCUGAAUAGGACUUCUAAAAAAACAAAUUCUCCAAUGUUAUUUCGUGUAUUUUUUACUUUGCCCAGUAUCUCUG
rnacentral:lncRNA from 1 species